GCCAGACUCCUACGGGAGGCAGCAGUGGGGAAUAUUGGGCAAUGGGCGCAAGCCUGACCCAGCAAUGCCGCGUGAAGGAAGAAGGCCUUCGGGUUGUAAACUUCUUUUAUCAGGGACGAAGGAUGUGACGGUACCUGAUGAAUAAGCUCCGGCUAACUACGUGCCAGCAGCCGCGGUAAUACGUAGGUGGCAAGCGUUAUCCGGAUUUACUGGGUGUAAAGGGCGUGUAGGCGGGGACGCAAGUCAGAUGUGAAAACCACGGGCUCAACCUGUGGCCUGCAUUUGAAACUGUGUUUCUUGAGUGCUGGAGAGGCAGACGGAAUUCCUAGUGUAGCGGUGAAAUGCGUAGAUAUUAGGAGGAACACCAGUGGCGAAGGCGGUCUGCUGGACAGCAACUGACGCUGAGGCGCGAAAGCGUGGGGAGCAAACAGGGUUAGAUACCCGAGUA
rnacentral:rRNA from 1 species